UACGAAGGGGGCUAGCGUUGUUCGGAUUUACUGGGCGUAAAGCGCACGUAGGCGGAUCGUUAAGUCGGGGGUGAAAUCCUGGAGCUCAACUCCAGAACUGCCUUCGAUACUGGCGAUCUCGAGUCCGGAAGAGGUGAGUGGAACUCCUAGUGUAGCGGUGAAAUGCGCAGAUAUCAGGAGGAACACCGGUGGCGAAGGCGGGUCUCUGGGCCGAUAUCGACGCUGAGGAGCGAAAGCGUGGGGAGCGAACAGG
rnacentral:rRNA from 1 species